rnacentral:rRNA from 1 species
CUCUGUCCUAAGGGAAGAAACAAAUGACGGUACCUUAGGAGGAACGCCCCGGCUAACUACGUGCCAGCAGCCGCGGUAAUACGGUAGGGGGACAAGCGUUAGUACCGGAAUCACGUGGGACGGUAAAGGGGUGCGGUAGGCGGCUUAGACAAGCCGAGGGGUGAAAGGCAUUGGCUCAACCAAUGUAAGCCUUUGGAACUGUUAGGCUUGAGUGCAGGAGAGGUAAGUGGAAUUCCUAGUGUAGAGGUGAAAUUCGUAGAUAUUAGGAGGAACACCAGUGGCGAAGGCGACUUACUGGACUGUAACUGACGCUGAUGCACGAAAGCGUGGGUAGCGAACAGGAUUAGAUACCCUGGUAG